GACGAACGCUGGCGGCGUGCCUAAUGCAUGCAAGUCGCACGCACUGCCUUCGGGCAGUGAGUGGCGCACGGCUGAGGAACACGUGGGCACCUGCCCUCCCGUGGGGGAUAACGCGGCGAAAGCCACGCUAAACCCGCAUACGCUCGCACCUUUGGGUGUGAGGAAACCUUGAAAAAGGGCGGGAGGAGGGGCCUGCGGCCCAUCAGGUAGUCGGUGGGGUAACGGCCUACCGAGCCGAUGACGGGUAGCUGGUCUGUGAGGACAACCAGCCAGACUGGGACUGAGAUGCGGCCCAGACUCCUACGGGAGGCAGCAGCAAGGAAUUUUCCCCAAUGGGCGCAAGCCUGAGGGAGCAACGCCGCGUGGAGGACGACGGCCUUCGGGUUGUAAACUCCUUUUGGGGGGGGACGAUAGUGACGGUACCCCCCGAAUAAGCCCCGGCUAACUCUGUGCCAGCCGCCGCCGUAAGAC
rnacentral:rRNA from 1 species